rnacentral:rRNA from 1 species
AGUGAACGCUGGCGGCGUGCUUAACACAUGCAAGUCGAACGAGAACGGAAUAUAGCUUGCUAUAUUUGUCAGCUAAGUGGCGCACGGGUGAGUAAUAUAUGGAUAACCUGCCCUUAAGAAAGGAAUAACAGUUGGAAACGACUGCUAAUGCCCUAUAUGCCUUUAAUACAUAAGUAUGCAAGGGAAACGCUUUAGUGCUUAAGGAUGGGUCUGUAUGGUAUCAGCUUGUUGGUGAGGUAAUGGCUCACCAAGGCUAUGACGCCUAACUGGUUUGAGAGGAUGAUCAGUCACACUGGAACUGAGACACGGUCCAGACUCCUACGGGAGGCAGCAGUGGGGAAUAUUGCACAAUGGACGAAAGUCUGAUGCAGCAACGCCGCGUGGAGGAUGACACAUUUCGGUGCGUAAACUCCUUUUAUAUAGGAAGAUAAUGACGGUACUAUAUGAAUAGGCACCGGCUAACUCCGUGCCAGCAGCCGCGGUAACAC